UUUGUGCUUAGGUUGUAAAGGACUAUGCUGAUACUGGAAUUGUGGUAUAUAUAGCUGGGUUAACAGACUCAUUGCUGGAAAGACUCGAAAGAUUGGAGUUUUUUGAGCACAUCCCAAGGGACCAUAUUUUUCCUUCUGUUCAUGAUGCUGUGUUGUUUGCGGUCGCUGGAUCUUUAGAUAGUCAAAACCUCUAAAUGCAUUUAUUAUAAAAAAAUUUGGAAAAUGUUUAUUUAAUGAAUUUGAUAAUAUUUAUCAAAAUCAUGUUUUGUAAUCCACGUAAGACUCGUUAAUGUUUGUAACAUGCUUACUUUGUUAUACUUUUGUUUCCUUUUAGUUAAAUGCUAGCCCAAAUAUAUAUCUGAAUCUCAAGUUUAUUUCUAUAUACAGAGUCACUUUGUUUCUCAGAGUUUUAUGCAAUAUAUCAUAUUAUAUUUUAAAUACAAAAUGUUCUGUUGAGAUUUAUUUGAAGUGAUAACAUAUGAAGCUUGUGAAUUUGAUAAUGUGUUAAAAUGAAGGUGAAAUAUGUAAUAUGGUUAUAGGCUGCAUUUAUGAUAAUCUUUAUUAAUUAGAAUUUAAAUAGUUCAAAGAAAUGUUUGCAGUUUUAUUAUGAUUACUUAACAUAUUAUUGCAUUUUUCACUUGUAUGUAAAGUGUAUUAAGUAUAAAAGAAAAUUCUUGACUGAGUUAAUUCAAUGGUGAUGCUACAUAUUAGGUUUAAUAAAUGAUAAUUGUUUUUUCAGGUUGUAUAUGUGAAGGCUUGUAGCUGCUGCAUCUAUUGUAUUUUUUAUGUUAUUUGAUUUUAAGAGACUUUACUAAUUGUGUAUAUUUAUGAGUUUCUUAGUUUAUAUGAUGAGUUAGUCCAUGAAACCAAACCCAUAUUUUACUUAUUAAAAA